CAAAUUUAUUCACAUCAUCAUUCACAUUGGUUGAAGAAGCAAUCAAUGAAAAAUAACUAUCAUCAUAAUUAAUACAAAUACUGUAAUCAACAUCCAAUACCAUAAAACUAUCUAAUAAAUAUCCUGAGCCAUAAUAAGUUGUUCUUAAAUACACAUCAACACGAAUACUAUGAAAAUUCAAGCUAUAUCCUAAGCCAAAAAGAACAAUAAUAAAAAUCAAGUUCCACCGA
rnacentral:lncRNA from 1 species